UGCUACUGGAUGGAGGAAGCGUCGAGGGAUUAACCCAUGGCGCGAGGCGUUAAAGGAGAACUCCACCGACAUUUCAGAACCUCUGCAGAAAUGAAUGGCUGAGAUAGGUUUUUAUUCAUUUCCAAAUCAUGAAAACACAAAUAUGAAGAUGGUGAUGAAGAACAGAUCCACUUCCAGCCACAAGAGGGCAGCAGAAGCCCAUUUGACACCAGGCCCUGUCCCAAUCGGCGCACGCUGGCAGCAGCCUUCGAAUGUCGCCUUUCUCGGCUGCAGACGUCACAAGUACCGUCCCAGUUCAAGAGCACUUGCAGAAAGCUGAAGUUCGUGAGAUGGGCCUGCGGAGGAACGAGCUCUCAGAUGAGCUUUCAAGGCUGUUUAUAAGUAGUGUGUCAUGUGGAAA